GUGCAGCGCGGCGGUGUUUUGCAGCCUGUGCGAGUAGGCGCUUUGGGCCCAGUCUCCCGAAUAGCGGUGCGCAGAAAUCUCGAACUGGUGGAGCCCACUCGUAACCUGGAGCCCGGAAGACUGCGAAGACAGUGCCGUUUCCUCAGCGGCGGACUGCUGCAGUAAGAAUGUCUUUUCCCCCUCAUUUGAAUCGCCCUCUGAUGGGAAUCCCAGCACUCCCACCAGGGAUCCCACCCCCACAGUUUCCUGGCUUUCCUCCACCCGUGCCUCCAGGGACCCCAAUGAUUCCUGUACCGAUGAGCAUUAUGGUUCCUGCUCCAACUGUCUUAGUACCCACCGUGUCCAUGGUUGGAAAGCAUUUGGGAGCAAGAAAGGAUCAUCCAGGCUUGAAGGCUAAAGAAAAUGAUGAAAACUGUGGUCCCACCACUACAAUUUUUGUUGGCAACAUUUCUGAGAAAGCCUCAGACAUGCUUAUAAGACAGCUCCUUGCUAAAUGUGGCUUGGUUUUGAGCUGGAAGAGAGUCCAGGGUGCAUCUGGAAAACUUCAAGCCUUUGGAUUCUGUGAGUAUAAGGAACCAGAAUCUACGUUCCGUGCACUCCGGUUAUUGCUUGACCUGCAGAUUGGAGAGAAUAAGCUACUUGUUAAAGUUGAUGCAAAGACAAAGGCACAGCUAGGUGAAUGGAAAGCAAAGAAGAAAGCUUCUAAUGGGAAUGCCAGGCCAGAAACUGUCACUAAUGAUGACGAAGAAGCCUUAGAUGAAGAAACAAAGAGAAGAGAUCAGAUGAUCAAAGGGGCCAUUGAAGUUUUAAUACGGGAAUACUCCAGUGAGCUCAAUGCCCCCUCAGAAGAAUCUGACUCUCACCCCAGGAAGAAGAAGAAGGAAAAGAAGGAGGACAUCUUUCGUAGAUUUCCCGUGGCCCCACUGAUCCCUUAUCCACUCAUCACUAAGGAGGAUAUAAAUGCUAUAGAAAUGGAAGAAGACAAGAGAGACCUAAUAUCUCGAGAGAUCAGCAAAUUCAGAGACACACACAAGAAACUGGAAGAAGAGAAAGGCAAAAAGGAAAAAGAAAGACAGGAAAUUGAGAAAGAACGGAGAGAAAGAGAGAGGGAGCGUGAAAGGGAACGAGAAAGGCGAAAACGGGAACGAGAAAGGGAAAGAGAACGUGAACGAGAAAAGGAGAAAGAACGGGAGCGGGAACGAGAACGGGAUAGGGAUCGUGACCGGACGAAAGAGAGAGAUCGAGACCGGGAUCGAGAGCGAGAUCGGGACCGCGAUCGAGAAAGGAGCUCAGAUCGGAAUAAGGAUCAGAGUCUAUCAAGAGAAAAGAGCAGAGAUCGUGAAAGGGAACGGGAGAGGGAAAGAGAAAGAGAGAGAGAACGGGAACGAGAGCGGGAGCAUGAGCGAGAGAGAGAGAGAGAGAGAAAGGGAACAGGAGCGUGAGCGAGAGAAAGACAAGAAGCGAGAUCGAGAAAAAGACGAAGAAGAUGCAUAUGAACGAAGAAAACUUGAAAGAAAGCUCCGAGAGAAGGAGGCUGCCUAUCAAGAGCGCCUUAAGAAUUGGGAAAUCAGAGAACGAAAGAAAACCCGGGAGUAUGAAAAAGAGGCUGAAAGAGAAGAAGAAAGAAGAAGAGAAAUGGCAAAAGAAGCUAAACGACUAAAAGAAUUCUUAGAAGACUAUGAUGAUGAUAGAGAUGAUCCCAAAUAUUACAGAGGAAGUGCUCUUCAGAAAAGAUUGCGUGAUAGGGAAAAGGAAAUGGAAGCGGAUGAACGGGAUAGGAAGAAAGAGAAAGAAGAGCUGGAGGAAAUCAGGCAGCGCCUUCUGGCAGAAGGGCACCCGGAUCCAGAUGCAGAGCUCCAGCGGAUGGAACAAGAGGCUGAGAGGCGCAGACAACCACAGAUAAAGCAAGAACCAGAAUCUGAGGAAGAGGAAGAAGAAAAGCAAGAAAAAGAAGAAAAACGUGAGGAACCCAUGGAAGAAGAAGAGGAGCCAGAGCAAAAACCUUGUCUCAAACCAACUCUGAGGCCCAUCAGUUCUGCCCCAUCCGUCUCCUCUGCCAGCGGCAAUGCAACUCCCAACACUCCUGGGGAUGAGUCUCCCUGUGGUAUUAUUAUUCCUCACGAAAAUUCACCAGAUCAACAACAACUUGAAGAGCAUAGGCCAAAAAUAGGACUAAGUCUUAAACUGGGUGCUUCCAAUAGUCCUGGUCAACCUAAUUCUGUGAAAAGAAAGAAGCUCCCGGUAGAUAGUGUCUUUAACAAAUUUGAGGAUGAAGACAGUGAUGAUGUACCCCGGAAAAGGAAACUGGUUCCCUUGGAUUAUGGUGAAGAUGAUAAGAAUGCUGCCAAAGGCACUGUAAACACGGAAGAAAAGCGCAAGCACAUUAAAAGUCUCAUUGAGAAAAUCCCCACAGCCAAGCCGGAGCUGUUUGCCUAUCCCCUGGAUUGGUCUAUUGUGGAUUCUAUAUUGAUGGAACAACGAAUUAGACCAUGGAUUAAUAAAAAAAUCAUAGAAUAUGUAGGUGAAGAAGAAGCUACAUUGAUUUUGUUUGUUCUAAGGUUAUGGCUCAUAGUUCACCUCAGAGCAUUUUAGAUGAUGUUGCCAAGGUACUUGAUGAAGAAGCAGAAGUUUUUAUAGUCAAGAUGUGGAGAUUAUUGAUAUAUGAAACAGAAGCCAAGAAAAUUGGUCUUGUGAAGUAAAACUCUUUGACAUUAAGAGUUCCAUUUCAGAUUUCUUCUUUCCCAUCCUUCAAAGGACUUUAAUUUUUUUUUGUCUUCAAAGACAUUUGUGAGAUCUGUAAUUUUUUUUUUAAUGUAGAAAAUGUGAAUUUUUUUGUCCUCUAAUUUGUUGAUGCCGUGUGUACUCCCUUGGUUGUAAAGACAUCUGAAUCCUACCAUGGUUCUCUUUAUACUCACCAGGUACAAAUUACUGGUAUGUUUUAUAAGCCGCAGCUACUGUACACAGCCUAUCUGAUAUAAUCUUGUUCUGCU